GGGGUCCCGGACCGAGAGCGAUGGGGGCGCCGAAAUGGGGGAGGAGGAGGUCGCUGGGUUUCAGUGCAGGUGGGUGGCAAGGAAGACUGUAUGGAAGAGACGGCAUUUAAACCAAACAUGGCAGUAUGGAUGGAAUUUGGACAUGAUGAGAUAGAGCAAAGCCUGGAAGCUGGGAAGUCCAAGAUCAAGGUGCUGACCGGUUCAGUUUCUGG